AUUGAACGCUAGCGGCAGGCCUAACACAUGCAAGUCGAGCGAGCGGCGGAAGGGUGAGUAAUGUAUGGGGACUGCCCGAUAGAGGGGGAUAACUACUGGAAACGGUGGCUAAUACAGCAUACUGUCGGAUAACCCAUAUGGGAUUGGCUAGUAGGUGAGGUAAUGGCUUACCUAGGCGACGAUCCCUAGCUGGGCUGAGAGGAUGAUAAGCCACACUGGGACUGAGACACGGCCCAGACUCCUACGGAGGCAGCAGGGGGAAAUAUUGCACAAUGGGCGCAAGCCUGAUGCAGCCAUGCCGCGUGUAUGAAGAAGGCCCUAGGGUUGUAAAGUACUUUCAGUCGGGAGGCGUUACCGACAGAAGAAGCACCGGCUAACUCCGUGCCAGCAGCCGCGGUAAUUC
rnacentral:rRNA from 1 species